rnacentral:rRNA from 1 species
GAUGAACGCUGGCGGCGUGCUUAACACAUGCAAGUCGAACGGAAAGGCCCAAGCUUGCUUGGGUACUCGAGUGGCGAACGGGUGAGUAACACGUGGGUGAUCUGCCCUGCACUUCGGGAUAAGCCUGGGAAACUGGGUCUAAUACCGGAUAGGACCACAUUUUGGAUGGUGUGGUGGAAAGUUUUUCGGUGUGGGAUGAGCUCGCGGCCUAUCAGCUUGUUGGUGGGGUAAUGGCCUACCAAGGCGUCGACGGGUAGCCGGCCUGAGAGGGUGUACGGCCACAUUGGGACUGAGAUACGGCCCAGACUCCUACGGGAGGCAGCAGUGGGGAAUAUUGCACAGUGGGCGCAAGCCUGAUGCAGCGACGCCGCGUGGGGGAUGACGGCCUUCGGGUUGUAAACUCCUUUCGCUAGGGACGAAGCGCAAGUGACGGUACCUGGAGAAGAAGCACCGGCUAACUACGUG